GACGAACGCUGGCGGCGUGCUUAACACAUGCAAGUCGAACGGAAAGGCCCUGCUUUUGUGGGGUGCUCGAGUGGCGAACGGGUGAGUAACACGUGAGUAACCUGCCCUUGACUUUGGGAUAACUUCAGGAAACUGGGGCUAAUACCGGAUAGGAGCUCCUGCUGCAUGGUGGGGGUUGGAAAGUUUCGGCGGUUGGGGAUGGACUCGCGGCUUAUCAGCUUGUUGGUGGGGUAGUGGCUUACCAAGGCUUUGACGGGUAGCCGGCCUGAGAGGGUGACCGGCCACAUUGGGACUGAGAUACGGCCCAGACUCCUACAGGAGGCAGCAGUGGGGAAUAUUGCACAAUGGGCGGAAGCCUGAUGCAGCAACGCCGCGUGCGGGAUGACGGCCUUCGGGUUGUAAACCGCCUUCGCCUGUGACGAAGCGUGAGUGACGGUAAUGGGUAAAGAAGCACCGGCUAACUACGUG
rnacentral:rRNA from 1 species